rnacentral:rRNA from 1 species
AGUGAACGCUGGCGGUAGGCCUAACACAUGCAAGUCGAACGGCAGCACAGUAAGAGCUUGCUCUUACGGGUGGCGAGUGGCGGACGGGUGAGGAAUACAUCGGAAUCUACUUUUUCGUGGGGGAUAACGUAGGGAAACUUACGCUAAUACCGCAUACGACCUACGGGUGAAAGCAGGGGAUCUUCGGACCUUGCGCGAUUGAAUGAGCCGAUGUCGGAUUAGUUAGUUGGCGGGGUAAAGGCCCACCAAGGCGACGAUCCGUAGCUGGUCUGAGAGGAUGAUCAGCCACACUGGAACUGAGACACGGUCCAGACUCCUACGGGAGGCAGCAGUGGGGAAUAUUGGACAAUGGGCGCAAGCCUGAUCCAGCCAUACCGCGUGGGUGAAGAAGGCCUUCGGGUUGUAAAGCCCUUUUGUUGGGAAAGAAAAGCAGCAGGUUAAUACCCCGCUGUUCUGACGGUACCCAAAGAAUAAGUACCGGCUAACUUCGUG